rnacentral:rRNA from 1 species
CACGUAGGGCGCGAGCGUUGUCCGGAAUUAUUGGGCGUAAAGAGCUCGUAGGCGGCCUGUUGCGUCCGCUGUGAAAGCCCGGGGCUUAACCCCGGGUCGGCAGUGGAUACGGGCAGGCUAGAGGCAGGCAGGGGAGAAUGGAAUUCCCGGUGUAGCGGUGAAAUGCGCAGAUAUCGGGAGGAACACCGGUGGCGAAGGCGGUUCUCUGGGCCUUACCUGACGCUGAGGAGCGAAAGCGUGGGGAGCGAACAGG